AGUGGAAUAACUGGGUCAAAUGGUGGUUCCAAGUUUUCCAAGGAAUUUCCGUACUUCUUUUGAUAUUGGCUGUACCAUUUUGCAGUCCCACAAGCAAU
rnacentral:pre_miRNA from 1 species